AUUGAACGCUGGCGGAAUGCUUUACACAUGCAAGUCGAACGGCAGCACGGACUUCGGUCUGGUGGCGAGUGGCGAACGGGUGAGUAACAUAUCGGAACGUAUCCAAUAAUGGGGGAUAACGAGUCGAAAGAUUCGCUAAUACCGCAUACGCCCUACGGGGGAAAGCUGGGGACCUUUGGGCCUGGCGCUAAUGGAACGGCCGAUAUCUGAUUAGCUAGUUGGUGAGGUAAAGGCUCACCAAGGCGACGAUCAGUAGCUGGUCUGAGAGGACGACCAGCCACACUGGAACUGAGACACGGUCCAGACUCCUCCGGGAGGCAGCAGUGGGGAAUUUUGGACAAUGGGCGCAAGCCUGAUCCAGCCAUUCCGCGUGAGUGAAGAAGGCCUUCGGGUUGUAAAGCUCUUUCGCAAGGGAAGAAAACUUAGCCACUAACAUUGGUUGAGGUUGACGGUACCUUGAUAGGAAGCACCGGCUAACUACGUGCCAGCAGCCGCGGUAACAC
rnacentral:rRNA from 1 species